UACGUAGGGAGCAAGCGUUGUUCGGAUUUACUGGGCGUAAAGGGCGCGUAGGCGGCGUGUCAAGUCAAUUGUGAAAUCUCCGGGCUUAACUCGGAACGGCCAAUUGAUACUGUCAUGCUAGAGUGCAGAAAGGGCAAUCGGAAUUCUUGGUGUAGCGGUGAAAUGCGUAGAUAUCAAGUGGAACACCUGAGGCGAAGGCGGGUUGCUAGGCUGACACUGACGAUGAGGCGCGAAAGACAGGGGAGCAAACGGG
rnacentral:rRNA from 1 species